rnacentral:rRNA from 1 species
CCUACGGGUGGCAGCAGUGGGGGAUAUUGGACAAUGGGGGGAAGCCUGAUCCAGCGACGCCGCGUGAGUGAAGAAGUAUUUCGGGAUGUAAAGCUCUGUCAGCAGGGAAGAAAGAAAUGACGGUACCUGACCAAGAAGCCCAGGCUAACUACGUGCCAGCAGCCGCGGUAAUACGUAGGGGGCAAGCGUUAUCCGGAAUUACUGGGUGUAAAGGGAGCGUAGACGGUUAAGUAAGUCUGGCGUGAAAGUCCGGGGCCCAACCCCAGGACUGCACUUGAUACUAUCAAGCUUGAGUACAGGAGAGGUAGGCGGAAUUCCUAGUGUAGCGGUGAAAUGCGUAGAUAUUAGGAGGAACACCAGUGGCGAAGGCGGCUUACUGGACUGUAACUGACGUUGAGGCUCGAAAGCGUGGGGAGCAAACAGGAUUAGAUACCCGGGUAGUC